GAAGCGGAAUACAUAUGUAUUUAUUAUUAUCACUUGCACUUGCUGAGCAUCGAAAUAAUGACGUCGCAGUCGCCGUCGUCGCCACAGCCGGGAGCCAAAUUCGGUUUUUUUUUUGUUCUUUUACCUACUUUUAUUAAACAGGCGGACAGACGAUGGUACGGACAGACAGACGGACUUCUCCCAUGCUGUUCCGCACCGUAGUGCGAUUCAGUUUCAGUAUAGCUUUGAACUCUGAAAUAAGCGGACGGUGUGGGCUGCUGCCGGUUGUGUUACAACAACGACAACAACAACGAAAACCAAAACAAAAUAUAUAAACAAACGCUUGCGAGUUUUUGCAUUUAAAUUGGAAAAAGUAAGGGGGGAAAAUCCUUAUAAAGACAAACUUGUCAAAUGCAAUGAUUUGCCCGAUAGACACACACAUACACACUGCUUACCUUCUUUUGUUCUAAUUCUUUCACCAAUAUCUGAAAAUUGAAUUUUGAGAAAUUGGGGCGGCGCUCAACUAAAAACGCCCGAUCACCGACCUUUGCUGUCUCUUCCAGCGGGCCCGCAGUCAAAAAUUUGGAUAUUAAGAAGUACAAUUCUGGAAAAGAAAUAGUUACGGUUCACAUUAAAUGCAACAAGUUGUUUGCCAAAUGCACAUAA